AGAAUUUCAUAAACUCCAUGAAAGUUAAAAUCUUUCUGUGUCCACAAAAUUAAUAAAAAUGAAUCAAAAUCAUCAAAAAUUUCCUCCACUUCUCCUCUCUCUGGUGAAAACACCUAUAUAUAUUGGCUUCUGUAUAUAUUUAUAUACAUCACACAAAGAGCGCAUCAAACGCGAAGGUAAAAAAAACCCAUCGUAACCUUCUAAUUUACACCAUGGCUAUUGCUCUUCAGAGUUCACUUCGAUUCCACCAUAAUUCUGUUUUCUUCGCUAAAAAUCCUCGUCUUUUUCAAAAUUCCCAAUUUCGUCCCCCUUCCCCUUUUUCUUCUGUACGGUAUCGCCCAAUAAUCCGAGCAAGCUCUGCUGUUGCUGUGGAAUCAGUAAUUUUGCUUCCCUUUCUUUCUAUGAACAUAUCUGGACUUGCUUUUUGUUAAACGAAAAAAGGGAAAAACCCGGGUUUUUUCCUGCUUUAUUAAGAGUGAUACUAUCGAAAAAAGCUUUGUUUAAGCUAAGCCAAACAUGUAUUAGCAUAUUUUGUACAUAUGUAUGUAUAACAUAAAGAGCAUAUUUUACAAGAAGAAAGAGCCCCUGUUUCAGAUGCAAGUUGCUGUUUCCCCAAUGUUUCAAUUUUGUGUUAUUAUGAUUUUUCCAUAUUGUAGUGUUAAAUUAUAUUUCACUGGUACUGAUUCAUGCUUUCUCAGGAAUUGGGCACUGAAGCCCAGGAUACUUCAGCUUUUGACUUGUUUGCUUGUCCCAUUUGUUAUGAACCCCUAAUAAGAAAAGGCCCUUCAGGUUUUAACUUGUAAGUUUGGAUUUGAAACACAUAAUAAAGUCGGUUCUAUGUGAUUUGGUGUGUGUUUAAUUUGAAUGUGAACUGUUGGCAGGCCAGCAAUCUAUAGGUCUGGUUUUAAAUGCAGGAAGUGCAACAAGACGUAUUCGAGCAAAAAUAUCUAUCUGGAUCUCACUGUUACUUCUGGGACGAAGGAAUACAGUGAGUUUAUACCGGCUGGAACUGAGCUCUUCAGGUAGAUGAUUGCUGAUCAUCGCAAGCUUGUGUUGCAUUGGAUAGUAAAAGAAUUGCAAUUUCAUGAAAUUCUCUUUGAGUUGAAAGUAUGAAAUCUGUGAAGUAGCAUAGUGAUGUAGUCUGGCUUGAUCAUAAUUGACUUCUUCUUUCUCAAAGAAUGCAUUUGUUGCAUACCCACUUUCGAUUUGACCUCAUUUCAAAUGCUACCCUUAAUAUGAACUCUAUACUGAAGAUUUAUAAUCAAGCAGAGAUUAAUUUUAAUUUUAUGUAUGCAACAAUGAAGCAAGGCACACGGAGGUGGAAAAAUGAAAUUAAAAGUGUUGAAUGGGUAACACUAUGCCUGAGAAUAUACUCACCUUUUUUUAUAUGUUUUCACCGAAAUUACUUGUGCAUAAAGCAAAACACUUGAAGGAAGGGAGUGAUCCAGCUAAAGCCAUCAUCUACACAAGCAUAUACAAGAGAGGAACAACAAGAGUAAUCCAAACAUAAGAUAUUGGACCCAUUGAUGGGAGUUGUGGGGAUUAGAACUUCCAAUAUUUAUUAUUAAUAUAUGAUAGAAAUUUGAUGUUAUUAAAUUCACUAUAUUUAUAAGUAGGGGACAAUAGGUUUAAUUUCUCCCUUAGUUUUUGGACAUGGACAUAUAUGUUAUUGAAUCUAGAUGCUUUAGGCUAGUGGACAGGCUAUAACUGGUGUAUAUUUUCGUCGCCCUCUUGGUGACAUUAUCACUUGUUUCCAUGAAAAUAUUAAAGGGACGUUAACUACUCUUCUGGUUGUUAGGUGGGAGAAGGGGGAGUGUAUGAGUCUGGUCAUGGAGGGGCAUAAUUGGCGGUGGAAAAAAGAGCUUUCUGUAUUAUAUAAUCAUAUUUUGCAUUAUGGGGCUGGCUUCUUGCUUUUAAGAAACUAGAGGAUAGAAGCAAUAAAAAAAUAUUCUCGAAAGUUAACAAAUACUAUGGCUUUUGUUAGCUUCCUACCUGGCUAUUAAACAUAAGAGUAUUGUUGAUGAAAAAGGAGUUAAUAUGCUUCCUAAAUGGCAUGUGUAAAUGUUCUUUAGCCUGCUUCAUAAUCUUUAGCUUGGUCUACUAAUUGAUCUUUAUGGUAAAUUUACAGUGAAUUCAAUAUAAGAAUUUAUAUUCACUUGAAUCCCUCUGAUAUUGAGAACUUUCUAUUCUGCCGUGAACAUAAUCGUAUUAUUUUGAAUUUUAUUUUAUUUUAUUAUUUUAUUAUUAUUAUUAUUAUUUUAAUAAAAAACGUGUUAUUUGUGCUCCUAGUUGUCCAGACAGAAAAAAACUUCACUCUUCUUUUCAUUUUCUCAACAUUCAUGUUUUUUCUUUAUUUUUGUUGGUGUCAUUGUGGGCACUGGGCAUUUAUACUGUCUUGUUGUAGUAGUUGAUCAAAUUAAAUACGAAUCUUAUUACCUUACAUUUGUAUGAGCUCAGACAAAUUUCUUCAAGAAUCAAACCUUAAUUUUGACAAGUAUAGUUUACCUACUAGGCUCAGUCCUAAAGUGAAAAAUAGUUUGUCCUCUUUUUCCUUCAGUAUUCAGGAUGAUGGUGGAAGAAGGGGUGGUGGACUUGGUGGGGGAAGGGGUGGAGCAAGUGGGUUGAGAUAUUGCGAGGUGAUGACAAUGCCUGCUGGGAAGACUUGAAAAAGACUGGAGAUCGAAGUUACGAGAAGAUAUGUGAUUUGUAAUGAUGUUGUCAGUCAAUCAACAUCAGCCUUUUCUGAUGGAAAGGAUGAUCUUUGGGUGUGCAAAAUGAGUUGAGGUCUCCUUGUAAAGCAUCAAAAUGAUUCUGGGACUUCUAUGUGGUUCUGGAAAACUUUCUAGAUGAGGAUUGAUGGGUUUCAAUUCAUGUUUAAAUGUUUAUUCAGCUCCUUGCUUAACUAAACUUGAAAUUUUGUUCCUAUUAUGAAUAAAAUCAGUCAUCUGUUAAGUUAGUGCCCUCAUUUGCUCGAACGAUGAAUAUAUCCAUCAUCUAAGACUGCGUAUGGUGUUUUAGACAUAUUCUGUACAGAGAACUGCUUAACCCUAAUGAUAAUGCUUUUACUUCUACCAGGAGUCCAUUUGUUUCAUUUGUGUAUGAGAGGGGUUGGCGCCAAAAUUUUAACCGUAGUGGUUUUCCUGGUCCUGAUGAAGAGGUAAAAUUCGUUACUUUCUGUUCUUAUAUAAAUGCAUAAAGUUAAUGAAUUCUAUAAACGAAAUAUUUCAAGACGAUAACUUGAUGAUUUCAAACUUUGAGAAGUGCAAAAUGAAAUGGAAGAAAGGGGUAAAAAUAUAAGACUCUAGGUAAUGUUCUAUCUGGGUCUUACUUUCACUUGUGUAUAAAAUAUCUUUUGAUAUAUCAUAUCUUGUGAUGCAUCCUUGCUACAAUAAAUAUCUGCUUGCUUUAUUUUGAUGUAACAGGCAAACCUCAUUUCAAUAUUUUCUUCAAAUUUAUAACACUUGUCUACAUGCCCACAUAAAUCGUUUGUUGCCACAAAAAAUUUUAAUGUGAAAUUCUAUGCAGUUCAACAUGGCUCAGGAGUAUUUUAAAUCAGCAGAAGGUGGAGUCCUUGUGGACGUUAGCUGUGGUAGUGGUUUGUUCUCCAGGAAAUUUGCCAAAUCAGGGGCCAAUUCAAGAGUUGUUGCACUAGAUUUUUCUGAAAAUAUGCUUCGCCAAUGUUAUGACUUCAUAAAAGAUGAUGUCACUAUAUUAGGCUCGUGAGUAUUUUGUUUUCUUCUCUUUAUAAUUGCUUUGGAAGCUGCUCAAAUAAUACGUAUUAGAUUUAUUGCAUCACGGUCUCUUCGGAUAUCUUCAGAAAUCUUGCACUUGUAAGGGCAGAUGUUUCUCGACUUCCCUUUGCAUCUGGUUCAGUUGAUGCCGUUCAUGCUGGUGCAGCUUUGCAUUGCUGGCCUUCUCCAUCUAAUGCGGUAAGUUUUCACAUUUGCUGGUUUUCACCUUCUUGCAGGACUUGAGAAUAUCAAUUCCAUGAGUGUUAUUUUUGUGUUCUCUACUGUGGUGAUCUGUUUACAAAAAAGUUGUAUAGAUGUGGACACGGCAUUUCUUGAUAAACUAGGAUACAGCACCACUCGAGCAACAUGACUAAAAUUAUUUGCAUAUGCACUACAAAUAAACAUAAUUCAUUAAAUUAUGUGAAACUAACAGGUUAAAUGAACGUCAAUCGUACUGAAUUCGCAUUUAAUUACCAUGGAAGAUUUGAAAUUGUAGGCUUUCCCUUGAAUAUUUAAUUAUGCAUGGUGGCAAGUUUGUGCACUUGAAAUCCAAUUCUUUAUGUUUUCGUGACAUUAUUUGACUUGAUGGACACAAGUUUGAGGAGUGUCUGCACAAUAUGACGUAAGCUUGGUCUACCCUUCGACUUGCUAUGACGAGAUACAUGCCCCAUAAACUUAGGAUGUUAACUUUUCUUCUGAGUUUGAUGUCUGAAUUGAAUUCCAUAGUCUUGAUGGUCUUUUAACUUUGAAUUGGACCACUGUUACCAAAUCUCCUGAUCCAAUCAAUUUGUAACCAGUUUGACUAUACUGUUUAUAUUUUAACUUAAAAGCCUCCAAAAUAAUAAGAGAUGACGUACAUGUUUACUUCCCGAAAAUGGUCUUUUGUCCUUACUCGGUAGUUUGCACUACAACCCUGUAACAUGGUUUGCUAUCUCAUAUAUGUUGAAUGGAAUACAAUUCUCGUGUAAUUUUUAUUGGAUGACGUGUGCAUUUUUUUUCCCUUCUUGCCAUGUAUUUUAGGUCGCGGAAAUCAAUCGUAUAUUACGAAGUGGUGGUGUAUUUGUGGGAAGUACUUUUCGUCGAGUCAGUUCAUCGACUCCUGCAUUAUUGAGGCCUUUCAGACAGGUAAUUCCUCUCUUAAUUGGAUUACUAGUCUUUGUUUCAAUCAAGUUCCAAGCCCAUUAGCGUACCAUUGGAUAUUAAUGGCCACAUUGGACUUCUAACCAGCAGGAGUGGACUUAGUGACAACACUGAUACAAAUUAUAAGUUUGGUUACCAGAUGAAAUUUAUAUGUUCAGCGACUUCAAAGAAUUGUACCCUUAGAGCAUGAAUCUCAAAAAUUCAAAUUUUAUUCCCAUUGAGAUUUAGCUCAUCUGAGCCUCAGGUCGAUCCUAGGAAUCGGUGGCAUUAUAGAGACUGAUACGAGACUAAAUAUUAUCUUUGGAUUAUUAAAUAUGUACAGAAGCAAGUUCAAAGCUUGAAAACAGUGAUUUGGUAUUUCUUCUUGAAAGGCCUGCUUCAUUUCAUUGGUACUAGUCAAAUUAUCGUCUCCUUGGCCAUGUAGAGUGGCUGCUGAUUGCGAUAUUUGUCUUAUAUUUCAUUCAUCAGGCAUUUUUUAUUGUGUCACAGAGGAUCACGAGGGACUACAAUUAUUUAACCGAAGAGGAGAUUGAGGACUUGUGUAGAUCUUGUGGUCUCGUCAAUUAUUCAAGGACAAUUCAGCAAUCAUUUAUUAUGUUUUCGGCACAGAAACCUUGAACUUUUUCUAGCUUUAUCCAGAUUUGAUUGUCGUCCGAGAUCUUAUUACGGUGCUGUCUAUACAAUUAAGAAGCACAUUUCUAUGCCAUGUAUAGGGAAAUUAUUUUUACAUAUUAUUGAGAAUAAGAUUAGGCGCAUUCAAUGUUGGACGAAAAUCCUUUCUAGUUGCAGACCAAUUUUUCCAUAUGUUCAUUUUGUGCCAUUUCUGUCAAUUUUCCUACA
rnacentral:lncRNA from 1 species